rnacentral:rRNA from 1 species
UCUUACCCGCUGAAACUUAAGCAUAUCAAUAAGCGGAGGAAAAGAAACCAACAGGGAUUGCCCUAGUAACGGCGAGUGAAGCGGCAACAGCUCAAAUUUGAAAUCUGGCUCUUUCAGAGUCCGAGUUGUAAUUUGCAGAGGGCGCUUUGGCUUUGGCAGCGGUCCAAGUUCCUUGGAACAGGACGUCACAGAGGGUGAGAAUCCCGUACGUGGUCGCUAGCUAUUGCCGUGUAAAGCCCCUUCGACGAGUCGAGUUGUUUGGGAAUGCAGCUCUAAAUGGGAGGUAAAUUUCUUCUAAAGCUAAAUAUUGGCCAGAGACCGAUAGCGCACAAGUAGAGUGAUCGAAAGAUGAAAAGCACUUUGGAAAGAGAGUCAAACAGCACGUGAAAUUGUUGAAAGGGAAGCGCUUGCAGCCAGACUUGCUUGCAGUUGCUCAUCCGGGCUUUUGCCCGGUGCACUCUUCUGCAGGCAGGCCAGCAUCAGUUUGGGCGGUGGGAUAAAGGUCUCUGUCAUGUACCUCUCUUCGGGGAGGCCUUAUAGGGGAGGCGACAUACCACCAGCCUAGACUGAGGUCCGCGCAUCUGCUAGGAUGCUGGCGUAAUGGCUGUAAGCGGCCCGUCUUGAAACACGGACCAAGGAGUCUAACAUCUAUGCGAGUGUUUGGGUGUCAAGCCCGAGCGCGUAAUGAAAGUGAACGGAGGUGGGAACCCGCAAGGGUGCACCAUCGACCGAUCCUGAAGUUUACGGAAGGAUUUGAGUAAGAGCAUGGCUGUUGGGACCCGAAAGAUGGUGAACUAUGCUUGAAUAGGGUGAAGCCAGAGGAAACUCUGGUGGAGGCUCGCAGCGGUUCUGACGUGCAAAUCGAUCGUCAAAUUUGGGCAUAGGGGCGAAAGACUAAUCGAACUAUCUAGUAGCUGGUUCCUGCCGAGUU